GAUGAAGAACGCAGCGAAAUGCGAUACGUAAUGUGAAUUGCAGAAUUCAGUGAAUCAUCGAAUCUUUGAACGCAUAUUGCGCUCUCUGGUAUUCCGGAGAGCAUGCUUGUUUGAGUAUCAGUAAACACCUCAACUUCCAUAUCUUUUUUGAAAUGGGAGUUGGACUUGAGUGAUCCCAACGCUUUUCCUCACCGAAAAGUGGCGGGUUACUUGAAAUGCAGGUGCAGCUGGACUUUUCUCUGAGUUAUAAGCAUAUCUAUUUAGUCUGCCUAAAAAACAGAUUAUUACCUUUGCUGCAGCUAACAUAAAGGAGAUUAGUUCUUGUGCUGACUGAUGCAGGAUUCACAAAGACAGCUUCGGCCGACUUUGUAAACUCGAUCUCAAAUCAAGUAAGACUACCCGCUGAACUUAAGCAUAUCAAUAAGCGGAGGA
rnacentral:misc_RNA from 1 species